rnacentral:lncRNA from 1 species
ACACGUUGCAAAUAACUACAGGCAAAUGUCUGUCAUUUGGCUGAUACAAAGCUUGAACUCGAAGAAUAUCAGUUCUUUGGACUGAUGAGUGAGCCAAGCUGACUGCUUCUCACACUUGUUCAGGGCCCUAGUCUUAUCUUGCUAUCAGCUGAGCAGUUUGCCCAUAAAAUGAGCACAGCUGUAUUACUCUGAGAAAAUGGUCUCCAAGGAAGGCAGUGAUUAGUUCUAAAACAUGAAGGGGAUUAUAAAGGUACUCUCUUUCUUGAAACCAGAAGAUAAGGAUUUUACUGUAGGAAUUAUUUGCAAUUUGGAGAUGUCUAAGCAUCUCGAGUCAGGUUGCCUUUCGGUAUUAAGGAUUUCUAUUUCUUGGACUGCUAAAGUCAACAUGCAGGAAGGCUCAUUAUUGCUAGAAGUACUGAAAAAAAAGUAGCAAGGAACCCCUGGAGUCUUCUCUCAGCCAGUUGACAUCCUUAGAAUUUGCUUGGUUCAGUCCUUCAGGGCAGUGGAAAUAAAGCUGUGUCACGGAGGGCCUGUCUGGUCCAGUUACUUUGCUCUUAAGCCCAUGAGUUGAGUUGUUUCUCUGGAAACUUGAAUUUUUAUUGUAUUUCAUUCAUUGAUUACUUCAUUCACAUUCAUGCAGAGCAUACAAGUGGAGAUCAGAGGAGACCUCGCAGGAGUUACUUCUCGCUUUCUAGCACGUAGGUUUUAGGAAUUGACUUCAGGUUGUCAGUCGUGGCAGCAAUUGCUUUAACCCAGUAAGUCAUCUCAUCAGCCCCAAAAGAAUUUUUAAGAAAGGCGUUCUCUCUGUUUUCUGGCUUUUUAAAUUGUAUUUUGUACAGAGUAUUUUGAUCAUAUUUACCUGCCUCCCCCAACUCCUUCCAGCUCCCUCUCCCACCUCCCUUCCCCAGCUUCCCAACGUUGUGUCCUUUUUUUUUUUUAAAGCCCUUCAAGUCCAGUUUGUACUGCUCAUAUAUGUUUGUGGAUGUGUGACCUUCCACUGGAGUGUGGUCAACUUACAUACAUACUCUCCUUGGGUAGGGUUGAGAAUUGAUACCACCUUCCUCCAUGCUGGAAUAUGGUUUGAUUUGAACUUGUACAGGUCCUGUGUGUGCUGUCAGAAUCACUGAGUUCACAUGGAUAACUGCUCUACUGGGGGAGCCUGUUUACUUGUAGUCAUUUAUAGAUCACCUCUGGCUUUUUUUCCCCAGAAAUUUUAGUUUUAAUAACUAAUACCAAGGAAAGUAUACCUAUAAAGUACGUAGAAAAGUAAAAAUCUGACUCAGUAUUUUUCUUAAAAUUAUCUCACAAUUGUGGAAAUGGUUUUCUAUAUAAAACAGAUUUUAAGCAGAUAAUGCUAAACUCAGGUUUUCUUUCUUUGUAUUUUUUUUACAUACAACUAAUGCUUUGAGUUGUGUUCUUUUAAGUGUUUUAUUGUGUAGUUUAAGGGAAUUUUUAUGAUAGACAUUCAUAAGUUAGCAGUUCACAACAUGUUUAAGAAACAAUUGUAGAAAUAUGGAAAGAAUUUUGAAGCCAGGUAUCCUGGUUUGCUUUUCUUUUGCUGUGACUUAACACCAUGACAAAAAGCAACUUGGGGAGGAAAAAGGGUUUAAUGUCAGCUUUCUCUUUUGGGGUUCUUCAGUUAAGGUUUCCCCUUCCCGAGUGACUCUAGGUUAUGUCAAAUUGAAGGUAGAAAUGAACUAGUCCACCAGGCUGCCUAAGGAGGUUAACUACAACCAGGAAAACACAUGGAAUAAAUAAUCUCAUACCAUCAAAAUCAAAAGAAAUACACAUGGAUAACAACAACAACAAAGUAGAAAAGUGAAUGGUUGCUGCUGUUAGAUACUACACAAGUUUACUCUUAAGUGUCAAGAGGAAACAAUUUGUAAUGUUAAAGUGCAAAACAAGUUUUAAUGAUUUGCAAGAUGGGAAAACUAGUAACGAACACUAAAAUAUUCUUAUAAUCAUUAUCUUGGUUGAUUGUUUUUAUCUUCUAUUUUUAAAUUAUGGACAGUUUCAUACAUAUCUAAUGUAUUUUAAUCCUAUUUCCCUUCCCAUUCAUUCCUCUUGGCCCCCUCCUGCUCACCCUCUUCCUUCCAACUAAGAUCCCCUUCUACUUCUGCAUACCUUCAUGCAUGCAUCACACUGAAUUUAAAUAGGGUUGCUGCAUCAGCAUGGGCAGAUUGCCAAUGACUGUACUGCUGAAGAAAUUCUCUGUUUCCCCAUUGCAUCACAACCAUUAACUGAGUCCCUCCUCCAUCCAUAACAGCAGUUGACAGGUUCAAUGCUGUGAAGGUAACUACAGCUCUUUAAGUGCAAGGCCCAUGUCGUGGCAUGGACCUUUUUACUUUUCUGUAAUUUUCAAGUUAUAGACAGCUUUU